rnacentral:lncRNA from 1 species
UGGGUGUGCGAUUUUUCUUCUACAUGAGAGCCCUCCGAUCUCUGUGGGUGUGACGAUGGUGAGGAAGGAGGUAAUGUAGCAUGGAGCUCCCAAUCCCCCCACUUCUACAACUCCUCUGACAGCGGCGGCAUCUAAUUGAAAAGACAUUUGUUUCGUUGCUCCUCCAUCUCUAGGCUUGUCCACGCCCUUGCCUCUCUCUCUUAGG